UACGUAGGCAGCGAGCGUUGUUCGGAGUUACUGGGCGUAAAGGGUGUGUAGGCGGUUGUUUAAGUUUGGUGUGAAAUCUCCCGGCUCAACUGGGAGGGUGCGCCGAAUACUGAAUGACUCGAGUGCGGGAGAGGAAAGUGGAAUUCCUGGUGUAGCGGUGAAAUGCGUAGAUAUCAGGAGGAACACCGGUGGUGUAGACGGCUUUCUGGACCGUAACUGACGCUGAGACACGAAAGCGUGGGUAGCAAACAGG
rnacentral:rRNA from 1 species